rnacentral:rRNA from 1 species
AGUGAACGCUGGCGGUAGGCCUAACACAUGCAAGUCGAACGGCAGCACAGUAAGGGCUUGCUCUUACGGGUGGCGAGUGGCGGACGGGUGAGGAAUACAUCGGAAUCUACUUUUUCGUGGGGGAUAACGUAGGGAAACUUACGCUAAUACCGCAUACGACCUACGGGUGAAAGCAGGGGAUCUUCGGACCUUGCGCGAUUGAAUGAGCCGAUGUCGGAUUAGCUAGUUGGCGGGGUAAAGGCCCACCAAGGCGACGAUCCGUAGCUGGUCUGAGAGGAUGAUCAGCCACACUGGAACUGAGACACGGUCCAGACUCCUACGGGAGGCAGCAGUGGGGAAUAUUGGACAAUGGGCGCAAGCCUGAUCCAGCCAUACCGCGUGGGUGAAGAAGGCCUUCGGGUUGUAAAGCCCUUUUGUUGGGAAAGAAGAGCAGCAGGUUAAUACCCCGCUGUUCUGACGGUACCCAAAGAAUAAGCACCGGCUAACUUCGUG